rnacentral:rRNA from 1 species
ACGGGAGGCAGCAGUAGGGAAUAUUGCACAAUGGGGGAAACCCUGAUGCAGCAACGCCACGUGUGGGAAGACGCAUUUCGGUGUGUAAACCACUGUCGUGAGGGAAUAAGGCUGAGUUUCGGCUCAGUUGAAUGUACCUCGAAAGGAAGCACCGGCAAACUUCGUGCCAGCAGCCGCGGUAAUACGAGGGGUGCAAGCGUUGUUCGGAAUCACUGGGCGUAAAGGGAGCGCAGGCGGAGAUGUAAGCCAGCCGUCAAAUCGUGGUGCUCAACGCCAUCCAGCGGUUGGAACUGCAUCCCUUGAGUGCACUAGAGGAAGGUGGAAUUCGUAGUGUAGCGGUGAAAUGCAUAGAUAUCACGAAGAACUCCGAUUGCGAAGGCAGCCUUCUGGGGUGUUACUGACGCUCAUGCUCGAAGGUGCGGGUAUCAAACAGGAUUAGAUACCCUGGUA